rnacentral:rRNA from 1 species
GGAGGGGGCUAGCGUUGUUCGGAAUUACUGGGCGUAAAGCGUACGUAGGCGGCUUUGUAAGUUAGAGGUGAAAGCCUGGAGCUCAACUCCAGAACUGCCUUUAAGACUGCAUCGCUUGAAUCCAGGAGAGGUGAGUGGAAUUCCGAGUGUAGAGGUGAAAUUCGUAGAUAUUCGGAAGAACACCAGUGGCGAAGGCGGCUCACUGGACUGGUAUUGACGCUGAGGUACGAAAGCGUGGGGAGCAAACAGGGAUUAGAUACCCUGGUAGUCCACGCCGUAAACGAUGAUAACUAGCUGUCCCGGGGGACUUGGUCUUUGGGUGGCGCAGCUAACGCAUUAAGUAUCCGCCUGGGGAUACGGUCGCAAGAUUA